CGCCCGGGGCGCGCCCCGGGCGGGGCGGGGGGAACGCGAAGAACUUACCUGGGUUUGACAUGCACAGGACGCCGGUAGAGAUAUCGGUUCCCUUGUGGCCUGUGUGCAGGUGGUGCAUGGCUGUCGUCAGCUCGUGUCGUGAGAUGUUGGGUUAAGACCCGCAACGAGCGCAACCCUUGUCUCAUGUUGCCAGCGCGUUAUGGCGGGGACUCGUGAGAGACUGCCGGGGUCAACUCGGAGGAAGGUGGGGAUGACGUCAAGUCAUCAUGCCCCUUAUGUCCAGGGCUUCACACAUGCUACAAUGGCCGGUACAAAGGGCUGCGAU
rnacentral:rRNA from 1 species